ACGAACGCUGGCGGCGUGCUUAACACAUGCAAGUCGAACGGAAAGGCCCUGCUUUUGUGAGGUGCUCGAGUGGCGAACGGGUGAGUGACACGUGAGUAACCUGCCCUUGACUUUGGGAUAACUUCAGGAAACUGGGGCUAAUACCGGAUAGGAGCUCCUGCUGCAUGGUGGGGGUUGGAAAGUUUCGGCGGUUGGGGAUGGACUCGCGGCUUAUCAGCUUGUUGGUGGGGUAGUGGCUUACCAAGGCUUUGACGGGUAGCCGGCCUGAGAGGGUGACCGGCCACAUUGGGACUGAGAUACGGCCCAGACUCCUACGGGAGGCAGCAGUGGGGAAUAUUGCACAAUGGGCGGAAGCCUGAUGCAGCAACGCCGCGUGCGGGAUGACGGCCUUCGGGUUGUAAACCGCUUUCGCCUGUGACGAAGCGUGAGUGACGGUAAUGGGUAAAGAAGCACCGGCUAACUACGUG
rnacentral:rRNA from 1 species